ensembl:snRNA U6 U6 spliceosomal RNA
GCGCUUGCUUUGGCAGCACAUAUACUAAAAUUGGAACCAUACCGAGAAGAUUAGCAUGGCCCCUGUGCAAGGAUAACAGCUAGAUGCUGAGGGGAAAAGAGGAGCUUU